rnacentral:lncRNA from 1 species
UUUGAUUUGUCCACUUAAUUUUUAGAAGUACCUUUGUUUUCUUCUUCCUUUUUUUGUUAACUCAAACCAAUUGAUUAGUUCUUUAUUAAAAACAUUGACAGAGGCAACGAAAUUCCAAUUAAUCAGUUCUUCUGGUGAUUUCGAGAUGUUGGAGGUUCGAUUUAGGAUUUUUCUUUUGCUUUUUUCAAGGGAUGAAGAUAAGCUAGGGGAUUUUAUGGUGAUUCCGAAUUGUGAUUUUUAGAGGAAGGUGGUGGCUGCUGGUUAUUUGGUUACAAUGAAGAAAUAAUUUGUAGGCGGCUGUUUUUUUUUUUUUUUUUUGGUUAGUUGUAGUUUGGGGAGAAGUUAAGGGGCGAGGGGUACGCAUGGAUGAACAACGAUUAUGCCCGAUGUGACAUGGAAGGGUGAUCUUAGUGGGGGAUGAUGAAUGAGGUGUACGAUAAUUACAACAGGAAUUACAACAUAAGACAGUAAUUCCUCAACCAGUGACAACGGACAAACAUAAUGAAUAAAGGUGGCACAACAUCACCUAUUGUGCUUUUACUCUCAACCUCACAAUGAAAUGAUAAUUAUAGUACGACAUCACCCUUCGUACUUUUACUUUCGAUCUCUCUAUGAAACAAUAAAUACAACACGACAUGGCAUCACCCUUCGUGCUUUAACUCUCUUUAUCACCAUGUAUGAAUCAGUAAAUGAAACAAAUAACG